CUGUGAUUUUCUAUGAAAUAUGAACUUCCACUUCCACCAAGAAGAACUUUUACAAUUUUUUCUCCAAUGCCUGAUGAAGGGUGUUUGUGCCCAAAAGCUUGCAAUGA